rnacentral:tRNA from 1 species
UGUGGUGUAGCUCAGUUGGUAGAGCGCCGGAUUGUUAAUCCGGUGGUCGGAGGUUCGAGUCCUCCCGCCACAGCCA